UACUGUGCCAGCGCCUACUGCCCCUCCUCAGACCCGGUCCCUCUCCCAGCCAGGAGGUGAACCAGUUCUGCCAGAUUCUGGCAGUUCGACGAGGGCCAGUUGGUGUCGGCCCUACGGACAUCAUGCCUGGUGGAUUGCGCCGUGAUGCAGGACAGCCCUGAUUGUCUGGUCCAGACCCAGGCUAUAUCCUGUCUGCAGCAGAUGCACGUGUUUGCCCCGCGCCACGUCAACCUGGUUAGCCUGGUGCCCAGCCUGUGUGUAGUCAGAUGUGACCAUAAAGGAGGUUGUUUAGCCUGCUGGAUCGGGAGUCAGACAGCAGGGUGUUCUCAGUGACCUGAGGGACCUGAGGAGAGUACACCAGCUCCUGGCCUCUUCUCUGGUCAAGAUCCAGACAGGGAAAGAGGUGCCCAGU